UAGAAGGGAGUCUUAAGGAGAGGGGAGAGAAGGUGGAAGAUAUCAAACUUGAAAUCAUUUGGCACAUAAUCGGUUCAGUUGCAGUUCCGUAUCCCAGGUGCGUGUAAAGUGAGGAGUGUUCAAGCCAUUCACAUUGAGGGACACAAUUUUCAAAUUAUCCGCCAUCAUACCUAUCAA